UACGUAGGGACCAAGCGUUGUUCGGAUUUACUGGGCGUAAAGGGCGCGUAGGCGGCAUGUUAAGUCAGCUGUGAAAUCUCCGAGCUUAACUCGGAACGGUCAGCUGAUACUGAUGUGCUAGAGUACAGAAGGGGCAAUCGGAAUUCUUGGUGUAGCGGUGAAAUGCGUAGAUAUCAAGAGGAACACCUGAGGUGAAGACGGGUUGCUGGGCUGAUACUGACGCUGAGGCGCGAAAGCUAGGGUAGCAAACGGGA
rnacentral:rRNA from 1 species